rnacentral:rRNA from 1 species
AAUCCACACGACUCUCAGCAACGGAUAUCUCGGCUCUCGCAUCGAUGAAGAACGUAGCGAAAUGCGAUACCUGGUGUGAACUGCAGAAUCCCGCGAACCAUCGAGUCUUUGAACGCAAGUUGCGCCCGAGGUCUUUCGGCUGAGGGCACGCCUGCCUGGGCGUCACGC